rnacentral:rRNA from 1 species
ACGGGUGAGUAACGCGUAGGUAACCUGCCUGGUAGCGGGGGAUAACUAUUGGAAACGAUAGCUAAUACCGCAUAAGAGUAGAUGUUGCAUGACAUUUGCUUAAAAGGUGCAAUUGCAUCACUACCAGAUGGACCUGCGUUGUAUUAGCUAGUUGGUGGGGUAACGGCUCACCAAGGCGACGAUACAUAGCCGACCUGAGAGGGUGAUCGGCCACACUGGGACUGAGACACGGCCCAGACUCCUACGGGAGGCAGCAGUAGGGAAUCUUCGGCAAUGGACGGAAGUCUGACCGAGCAACGCCGCGUGAGUGAAGAAGGUUUUCGGAUCGUAAAGCUCUGUUGUAAGAGAAGAACGAGUGUGAGAGUGGAAAGUUCACACUGUGACGGUAUCUUACCAGAAAGGGACGGCUAACUACGUGCCAGCAGCCGCGGUAAUACGUAGGUCCCGAGCGUUGUCCGGAUUUAUUGGGCGUAAAGCGAGCGCAGGCGGUUAGAUAAGUCUGAAGUUAAAGGCUGUGGCUUAACCAUAGUACGCUUUGGAAACUGUUUAACUUGAGUGCAAGAGGGGAGAGUGGAAUUCCAUGUGUAGCGGUGAAAUGCGUAGAUAUAUGGAGGAACACCGGUGGCGAAAGCGG